CAAAAUAAAGGACUUGUCAUAAGCGCUAGUGCAUAGGUAAAUAGUUAAAUAACGGGCGUGACUUCUGUUACCUAGUAAACAAUGUUCUCCAGCACUCACCUGCUCUUUCUUCGGAGAUGAUGGUACCGCCCGUUGGGUGGC
ensembl:ncRNA F57B1.12 ncRNA